UUGCCUAGUUGUAAACCUAAGGCUUGAAAUGAGCUUCUUGAACCCUCUCAUGGUAGAUCUUUAGAGCCUUAAUUAUAUGCUCUAAGAAUAGAUUUAGAGAAAUCCUAGGAUGCUAAAUAGAUGGUUGAUGCAUGAUUCAUGAAGUUAAAUAAUGGAUUUUGCUAUACUUAAAUCUAGGGCUCAAAAAUGCUAGUUUUGUGAAUAUAAGGGUUUGAUCUCAUUUGACCCUCUGUAAACCUAAUUGCUAGGUAAACGAACGCGUUAGUGAAGUCGGUUCGGCGAUUCGUCGAGCCGUUGUAAAGUUAUUAAAGAAACGGACGUUUAGGCUUCAUUUCCGCCUGGAGGGCCGAGGCGACAUCGUAAAGUCAUGAAAAUGGAUUUGGAGCACCGUGGCGCAUAACCGAAGACCUAUAAUUUUCAAUGCCGCGAUUCGACGCACAGUUGGUGAGUAUUAGCAAAAUCGGACCGAAUCGGGUUACGGGUGCCGCGGGAGGCGGAUUGCAAGUGUCGACAAGCAAUCGGAAAGCGAUUUGAGGUGGGUUGUGUUUACCGAAGCGACUAGGUCGCCUGUAUGUCUAAGAUAAAUGUUCAUCAUUGAUGCAUGUAGUGGUAGUUAUUGAUAUAGCAUAAGUAUGCAUGAGAAGAAAGCUAAAUGAGCUACCAAACGAUGCAUGAUGACUUAGUGUAAAUAGUGCUAG
rnacentral:lncRNA from 1 species